rnacentral:siRNA from 1 species
GAGGACUGUGAUCGAGAUGCUG